rnacentral:rRNA from 1 species
UACGUAGGGGGCAAGCGUUAUCCGGAUUUACUGGGUGUAAAGGGAGCGUAGAUGGAAGGGCAAGUUUGGAGUGAAAGCCUGCGGCUCAACCGCAGAACUGCUUUGAAAACUGUUCAUCUAGAGUACUGGAGAGGUAAGAGGAAUUUCUAGUGUAGUGGUAAAAUGCGUAGAUAUUAGGAAGAACACCGGAGGCGAAGGCGUCUUACUGGACAGAUACUGACAUUGAGGCUCGAAAGCGUGGGUAG